rnacentral:rRNA from 1 species
UAUGUGAUCGUCUCUCGCAUAUCAAUAAGCGGAGGAAAAGAAACUAACAAGGAUUCCCCUAGUAACGGCGAGUGAAGCGGGAAGAGCUCAAAUUUGAAAUCUUAAAGGGUUUCCCUUUACGAAUUGUAGUUUAAAGAAGUGUUUUCUGUUGAGGUUUUGGUAAAAGUUCUUUGGAAUAGGACAUCAUAGAGGGUGAGAAUCCCGUAUUUGACCUUUACUUUCAACUUUGUGAUACACUUUCAAAGAGUCGGAUUGCUUGGGAAUGCAGUCCAAAAUGGGUGGUAAAUUUCAUCUAAAGCUAAAUAUUGGCGAGAGACCGAUAGCGAACAAGUACCGUGAGGGAAAGAUGAAAAGAACUUUGAAAAGAGAGUUAAACAGUACGUGAAAUUGUCAAAAGGGAAGCGUUUGACACCAGUGUUGUUUUUCUGAAAAUCAAUUAAAGAACUGUUUAUGCUAAGCUGUUUAGACUUUAUCAGCUAUCUGUUUAGUUUUGAGCUUUUCUUUAAUGCACUUUUCAGUUAACAAGUCAACAUCAAUUUCUUUUGCUGUAAAAAAGCUUGAGGAAGGUGGCUUGAGAUUCGUCUUAAGUGUUUAUAGCCUCUUGCCUAUGCAGUCGGAGAGAUUGAGGUCUGCAGCGUAGAUCCUUCGGGGCUAAAUGCAUUUGUGCUAAGUUAUAGCAUUUUAUAGACAACUUGUUGACUAUGAUUUGUCUUGUAGCUUACUCGCUUAUGUUAUUUUACCUACGCUUAGGAUAUUGAUCUCUCACAGUCGAGC